AUGGAGGUGAUGAUCCUUUCCCAGUUGAUCGACCAAGAUUAUACAGUGUGCUCUUUGUUUAAAUCUCUUUCUCAACAGAAGAGGUUUUCACAUCCAGUACUGUGAUCCAU